UCACUGCAAUCCAGAGUGUCCUGUGU
rnacentral:piRNA from 1 species